rnacentral:rRNA from 1 species
UACAGAGGUCCCAAGCGUUGUUCGGAUUCACCGGGCGUAAAGGGUGCGUAGGUGGCCGGGAAAGUUCGAUGUGAAAGCUCGGAGCUCAACUCCGAAAUGGCAUUGAAUACUAUUCGGCUUGAGGGUCGGAGGGGAGACUGGAAUUCUCGGUGUAGCAGUGAAAUGCGUAGAUAUCGAGAGGAACACCAGUGGCGAAGGCGAGUCUCUGGACGACUCCUGACACUGAGGCACGAAAGCUAGGGGAGCAAACAGG